UUGGUGAGCUUUUCGAUUUUUAACUAUUCGAUAAAAUGGAUCAAAGAAACUGCAUUAAGUUUUGUAUAAAUAAAAAGCGCGUUUAAGAAGUGUUGCAAGGAUUUGAAAGAAGGAAAAAAUUGGAAAAAAAUAUCUGAUGUAAAGACUUCGUAUGCUCUUUUUUCAUCGCCUUGAUCUAAUGAAAGCAAAAUUGGAACUCUUGUUUGGAUAUUCUGCCAAAGAAGGCCUGAAAAUUAUCAUAGUUAUGACCAAGUUGAUGAAGAUAGAUAUGACUCCACUCACUAUAAACGGCCAUUGCAUUGAAGAUCUUGACCAAUUCUGUUUUCUUGUCAGCAAAAUUACAAAGGAUGGAGAAUCAGAAUCAGACAUCCGCUCAAUUUCUCCAUGCCAUGGCUCAUAUACCACAACCAGUUGAAUGUCGACCAGAGGGUGUGCGAAACCUUUUGGCUGGUACACCUGAGGAAGUUAAAGGAGUUACACGAAGCUAUUAACUGAAAUCUGUACUCCUCUUUUGUUGGUUAAUAGGGCAGGUGGAUUCUGCGGUGGAUUAACAAAUAAUUGUAAGGAUUUUCGUUCUUUCCUUUCGUAAACGUUGGAGAUCUUCAUAUUUUAUUUCGCUGAGAUUGUUGCUGCGUCUGCUGGACAACAACACUUUUAAUGGGCAUUGCAUGUUGAAGAAACAUUUUCAUCACUUCCAAAAAAGGAAAUACAAGAAAACAGAAAACCACUGAACACAACGAAAAGCCCGACGACCAACUACAAACUGCAAAGAUCAGACAAUAAAAUUUAAUAAAGAUACAAAAUGGCAUGUGUGGCGGAAUUGCGUACGAGCUUUUUUUUAUUCCAUGGCCCGGAGAUGAUUCCACCAAAAUUAAACAAGGCGACAUUAUAAUCUUGUCGGUCAGCUCAAUGGUUAUGAACCAUUUAACGAUGGCAAGGUUGAAAAAAGCUUUAAAAUAAUUAUAGGAUUAAAGUUGAAUAAUGUUAACUGAACUUUAAUGUUGAACAUGUGCAAUUGCGCGUAUGAACUUGAACA